rnacentral:lncRNA from 1 species
GUUGGGAGUGAGGGCAGAGUUUGAAAGAGACCCACAGCGCCCCCACAAUCCUGGGCCUGGGACCAUGCCCACAGCAGGGGUGCUGCAUAGUUCCUGUGGUUCUACUUCCUGGACUCCCUCCCUUUCACCUCCCGCAGAGAUCUGCUACCUGGGCCUGCAGUUACCUGCUUCAGGCGAAUUCUUUCUAGGGAACGUUCAUGACUUGUGCUCUGAAUUAGCUUUACUAUUCAGAAGACCUUGGUUUGAAUCCAUGCUCUACCAUUUGCUGUCUUGGGAAAAUUGCUUAAUUUGGGUAUAUCAGAAUCUGUAGAAUAUUUGAUAGGGAAAUGAUACCCAUGAUGCUAUCUGCCUCAUUCACAACCAGCAUCCCAUGCACCUCAGCCCACUAUAUGCUGUCCAGGAUAUUUCUCCAGAUUACUGUAACUACCAAUAAAAAUGAAGUACUGUGAGAAGUGCUAAAUGGC